UGCCGAAAAAGUCCAAGUAAAAUAUUCGAUGUCCAUAAUACCGGUUUUUUACUCUAUUGCAAUCGGCUACUUCACUUACAAAUGUAGAGGAGCAGCUACAGAGUUUUCUGAUUUUUAUACAAACGUUCGAUCGUUAAUAUAUUGCACCAUUGUCCUUACUCUCGUUUUUAUUAUUUAUGUUGUUGCUCGUUCCGCAGUUUCUUCUAUAGUAUGGCAACUCGCAAUUCAGUCAACUGCGAUGAUAUAUGCUUUAGACUCUUUUAUGGAGUUAACAUUUGUGGAAAUGUCCGAGAAAAAACGAGCUUACAUGAAGGACAAGAAAUUAAAAAUCACAUCGAUCGCCUGGAGU